rnacentral:rRNA from 1 species
UCCGGUUGAUCCUGCCAGAGGCUACCGCUAUUGGAGUUCGAUUAAGCCAUGCGAGUCGAGAGUCUUAGGGACUCGGCGUACCGCUCAGUAACACGUGGGUAACCUGCCCUAUGCUGGGGAAUAACCUCGGGAAACUGAGAAUAAUACCCCAUAGUCCACCAUGCCUGGAACGGUUGGUGGAUCAAAGCUCCGGCGGCAUAGGAUGGGCCUGCGGCGUAUCAGGUUGUAGGGGGUGUAACGUACCCUCUAGCCAUCAACGCGUACGGGUGUUGGGAGACAUAGCCCGGAGAUGGAUUCUGAGACACGAAUCCAGACCCUACGGGGUGCAGCAGGCGCGAAAACUUGGCAAUGCGAGAAAUCGUGACCAGGGAACUCCAAGUGGCUGGGGUAAGACCCAGUCUUUUCUUGACUCUUAAACGGUCUUGGAAUAAGGGGUGGGUAAGGACGGUGCCAGCCGCCGCGGUAAUACCGGCGCCUCAAGUGGUAGUCGAUUUUAUUGGGCCUAAAACGUCCGUAGCCUGUUUGGUACAUUCGUGGGUAAAUCAACCAGCUUAACUGAUUGAAUUCUGCGAGCACGGCCAGACUUGGGACCGGGAGAGGUGUGGGGUACGCUCAGGGUAGGGGUAAAAUCCUGUCAUCCUCAGAGGACCACCUGUUGCGAAGGCGUCAUACUGGAACGGAUCCGACGGUCAGGGACGAAGCCUAGGGGCACGAACCGGAUUAGAUACCCGGGUAGUCCUAGGUGUAAACGCUGUGGAUUUGGUGUGUGGGGUCCGCAAUGGGCCCCAUGUGCCGGAGUGAAGAUGUUAAAUCCACUGCCUGGGGAGUACGGUCGCAAGGCUGAAACUUAAAGGAAUUGGCGGGGGAGCACUGCAACGGGAGGAGCGUGCGGUUUAAUUGGAUUCAACGCCGGAAAACUCACCAAGGCCGACUGUUAGAUGAAGAUCAGCGUAACGAGCUUAUUGGAUUAUCAGAGAGGUGGUGCAUGGCCGUCGUCAGUUCGUACUGUAAAGCGUUCUGUUAAGUCAGAUAACGAACGAGACCCGCAUCCUUAUUUGCGACCCUCAUGUCCGCAUGAGGCGCACCAUAGGGAGAUCGCUGGUGUGAAACCAGAUGAGAGCGCGGGCAACGACAGGUCAGUAUGCCCCGAAUGUCUUGGGCUACACGCGCGCUACAAAGGACAGGACAAUGGGAAGCCACGCCGAGAGGCGGCGCUACCCCGAAACCUGUUCGUAGUUCGGAUCGAGGGCUGUAACUCGCCCUCGUGAAGCUGGAUUCCGUAGUAAUCGUGUUUCAACAUAGCACGGUGAAUAUGCCCCUGCUCCUUGCACACACCGCCCGUCA